GUGGGGAAUAUUGGACAAUGGGGGCAACCCUGAUCCAGCAAUGCCGCGUGAGUGAUGAAGGCCUUCGGGUUGUAAAGCUCUUUUGGCGGGGACGAUGAUGACGGUACCCGCAGAAUAAGCCCCGGCUAACUUCGUGCCAGCAGCCGCGGUAAUACGAAGGGGGCUAGCGUUGUUCGGAAUUACUGGGCGUAAAGGGCGCGUAGGCGGUCCUGAUCGUCGGAUGUGAAAGGCCUGGGCUCAACCUGGGAAUGGCAUCCGAUACGGCGGGACUGGAGUGUGGGAGAGGUUGGUGGAAUUCCCAGUGUAGAGGUGAAAUUCGUAGAUAUUGGGAAGAACACCGGUGGCGAAGGCGGCCAACUGGACCACAACUGACGCUGAGGCGCGAAAGCGUGGGGAGCAAACAGGAUUAGAAACCCUAGUAGUCC
rnacentral:rRNA from 1 species